UACGUAGGGAGCAAGCGUUGUCCGGAAUCAUUGGGCGUAAAGAGCGUGUAGGCGGACCAGUAAGUCGGUUGUGAAAGUCCAGGGCUCAACCCUGGAAAGCCGGCCGAUACUGCUGGUCUAGAAUCCGGAAGAGGCGAGUAGAAUUCCUGGUGUAGCGGUGAAAUGCGCAGAUAUCAGGAGGAACACCAAUGGCGAAGGCAGCUCGCUGGGACGGUAUUGACGCUGAGACGCGAAAGCGUGGGGAGCAAACAGG
rnacentral:rRNA from 1 species